rnacentral:rRNA from 1 species
GUGCCAGCAGCCGCGGUAAUACAGAGGUCUCAAGCGUUAAUCGGAGUCACUGGGCUUAAAGGGUGCGUAGGCGGACCUGUAAGUGCUUUGUGAAAUCCCAUGGCUCAACCAUGGAAUGGCUCGGCAUACUGCAGGUCUUGAGGUCGGUAGGGGUUGCCGGAACUCUAGGUGGAGCGGUGAAAUGCGUAGAUAUCUAGAGGAACGCCGAAGGUGAAGACAGGCAACUGGGCCGAUUCUGACGCUGAGGCACGAAAGCGUGGGGAGCAAACGGGAUUAGAAACCCCAGUAGUCC